rnacentral:rRNA from 1 species
UGAUGAACGCUAGCUACAGGCUUAACACAUGCAAGUCGAGGGGCAGCAUGGUCUUAGCUUGCUAAGGCCGAUGGCGACCGGCGCACGGGUGAGUAACACGUAUCCAACCUGCCGUCUACUCUUGGACAGCCUUCUGAAAGGAAGAUUAAUACAAGAUGGCAUCAUGAGUCCGCAUGUUCACAUGAUUAAAGGUAUUCCGGUAGACGAUGGGGAUGCGUUCCAUUAGAUAGUAGGCGGGGUAACGGCCCACCUAGUCUUCGAUGGAUAGGGGUUCUGAGAGGAAGGUCCCCCACAUUGGAACUGAGACACGGUCCAAACUCCUACGGGAGGCAGCAGUGAGGAAUAUUGGUCAAUGGGCGAGAGCCUGAACCAGCCAAGUAGCGUGAAGGAUGACUGCCCUAUGGGUUGUAAACUUCUUUUAUAAAGGAAUAAAGUCGGGUAUGCAUACCCGUUUGCAUGUACUUUAUGAAUAAGGAUCGGCUAACUCCGUGCCAGCAGCCGCGGUAAUACGGAGGAUCCGAGCGUUAUCCGGAUUUAUUGGGUUUAAAGGGAGCGUAGAUGGAUGUUUAAGUCAGUUGUGAAAGUUUGCGGCUCAACCGUAAAAUUGCAGUUGAUACUGGAUAUCUUGAGUGCAGUUGAGGCAGGCGGAAUUCGUGGUGUAGCGGUGAAAUGCUUAGAUAUCACGAAGAACUCCGAUUGCGAAGGCAGCCUGCUAAGCUGCAACUGACAUUGAGGCUCGAAAGUGUGGGUAUCAAACAGGAUUAGAUACCCUGGUAGUCCACACGGUAAACGAUGAAUACUCGCUGUUUGCGAUAUACAGCAAGCGGCCAAGCGAAAGCGUUAAGUAUUCCACCUGGGGAGUACGCCGGCAACGGUGAAACUCAAAGGAAUUGACGGGGGCCCGCACAAGCGGAGGAACAUGUGGUUUAAUUCGAUGAUACGCGAGGAACCUUACCCGGGCUUAAAUUGCAGAUGAAUUACGGUGAAAGCCGUAAGCCGCAAGGCAUCUGUGAAGGUGCUGCAUGGUUGUCGUCAGCUCGUGCCGUGAGGUGUCGGCUUAAGUGCCAUAACGAGCGCAACCCUUGUUGUCAGUUACUAACAGGUUCCGCUGAGGACUCUGACAAGACUGCCAUCGUAAGAUGUGAGGAAGGUGGGGAUGACGUCAAAUCAGCACGGCCCUUACGUCCGGGGCUACACACGUGUUACAAUGGGGGGUACAGAGGGCCGCUACCACGCGAGUGGAUGCCAAUCCCCAAAACCUCUCUCAGUUCGGACUGGAGUCUGCAACCCGACUCCACGAAGCUGGAUUCGCUAGUAAUCGCGCAUCAGCCACGGCGCGGUGAAUACGUUCCCGGGCCUUGUACACACCGCCCGUCAAGCCAUGGGAGCCG